rnacentral:lncRNA from 1 species
UCUUGUUUUUUAAAAUUGUAAUGCUCUUCAAUUUCUAAUGUAAUCUUAUGCUUGACAAUUUAGGUGCCAGUGGUCUACUAGGAGCUCCAUGCACGGCUGGCUUAUUUUUGAGGCGUUUUUGUUCCCUGAGAUGAGAUGAGGUUGAGAAGUAGAGCGACGUGUAAAGCUUGCCUCCUUUUUGCUGUUGUCCCCCAUGCUAUACUGUAGGCUUGAAACCCCACAAUCAGGCACCCCUUUCUUCUGUUUCUAGCAUCUAGCAGCAGACUGUUUCUUGUUUCCCCCCCUUUGUACAAUUAUAAGUGGUAGACCCCCUUGUACAAUUAUAACUGGUAGAUUAGCUCAUGAAUUUCUUGGGUCUUGACCUGAUCUCAAAAUAAACCUGUUGAUGGUUUUAAUUAUAUAUGAUCGGUUACUUUCAGCUAUCUGGGUGUCAUUCUGCAGAACGGCUGAUGGAUUCCGGAUAUGAUAAUGAUCUGUCA